rnacentral:rRNA from 1 species
CAUGCAAGUCGAGCGAAUGGAUGGGAGCUUGCUCCCUGAAGUUAGCGGCGGACGGGUGAGUAACACGUGGGCAACCUGCCUGUAAGACUGGGAUAACUUCGGGAAACCGGAGCUAAUACCGGAUACGUUCUUUCCUCGCAUGAGGAAAGAUGGAAAGACGGUUUCGGCUGUCACUUACAGAUGGGCCCGCGGCGCAUUAGCUAGUUGGUGAGGUAAUGGCUCACCAAGGCCACGAUGCGUAGCCGACCUGAGAGGGUGAUCGGCCACACUGGGACUGAGACACGGCCCAGACUCCUACGGGAGGCAGCAGUAGGGAAUCUUCCGCAAUGGACGAAAGUCUGACGGAGCAACGCCGCGUGAGCGAAGAAGGCCUUCGGGUCGUAAAGCUCUGUUGUUAGGGAAGAACAAGUGCCAGAGUAACUGCUGGCACCUUGACGGUACCUAACCAGAAAGCCACGGCUAACUACGUGCCAGCAGCCGCGGUAAUACGUAGGUGGCAAGCGUUGUCCGGAAUUAUUGGGCGUAAAGCGCGCGCAGGUGGUUCCUUAAGUCUGAUGUGAAAGCCCACGGCUCAACCGUGGAGGGUCAUUGGAAACUGGGGGACUUGAGUGCAGAAGAGGAAAGUGGAAUUCCAAGUGUAGCGGUGAAAUGCGUAGAGAUUUGGAGGAACACCAGUGGCGAAGGCGACUUUUCUGGUCUGUAACUGACACUGAGCGCGAAAGCGUGGGGAGCAAACAGAUUAGAUACCCUGGUAGUCCACGCCGUAAACGAUGAGUGCUAAGUGUUAGAGGGUUUCCGCCCUUU